AAUCUUUCUUUCUUUCAGCAUCUUUGGUCCGGUACAGAGAGUGGUCAACACCACACAGAGGAUCAUCGGCUGCCCCCUUCCCUCCCCUCCCCUCCCUGAAGGACAUCCAUUCAUCCCGCUGCCUCAGCAGAGCUAAGGCAAUCAUCACAGACUGCUCCCAUCAUGCCUUCCCCCUGUCUGACUGGCUGCCCUCUGACCUGCGCUACGGAUCAAUCAGGACCACGACAAGUAGACUCAGGAACAGCUUCUUUCCACAAGCCAUCACCACACUGAACACACACACUCACUAGCACGCACACACAUUCACACCUUCACAUACGGACCAUAACUAGUACUUUUAGUGUGUAUAUUUAUUCUUUUCUGGGGCAUUUCAGAAUUUAAUGGAAAGAACAGCUAGAUGUGAAAGGGGAGAGAGAGAGAGAGGGGGAAGACAUGCAGGAAAUCGCCACAGGUCGGCCUCGAACCCUGGACCCUCUGCGCCGAGGCAUACACCUCCAUAUAUGUGCGCCCGCUCCACCGACUUCAGCUAACCAGGCCACUUUAGUUUGCCACUUCUCCCUCCGGUCCGCUAGGUGGCGGUACGGCGCCAUGACGCCGUUCACGCGCCGCCAAGACUGAAUAAAUAGAAGCGGAAACUCCACUGAAAUCAUUUCCAACCGAGAGAGAAGUCGUAGCGGGAGUUACAACGAAUCGUUCUCAGAAAUGAACGGUUUUUAAAUGUUUGACCAGCGGCUCGUCUCCUGAGGAUGCUUCCCCUCUGGACUGUCGCCUACGAUACGCACGCAAGGGUUACACCGGCCACGGGGGAAAUGAACUCGCGGGACACCGUACGGACGCUGCUCAGCGGUGUCACGAUGAGCGAUGGGAUUAAUUCCUCAAGAGGCAGAAAUGCAGCAGAUGCACAUAACCUGGGGACAGGGUGACGGUCCUCUGGUCGUGCGGUCGCAUUAAAUCUACAAAAUGAGAUGAAGGUGAUCGACGCCUGUGACGCUGGGUGACUGUCUUCAGUCGCGCUGUCUCACUGAAUCCACAAAAUCUUCCGCGGAGAUGGAGGCGAUCAACGGCUGUGAUGCCGGUUGGAUGGGAAAGGGAACGUCUGGAUCUUGGAGUCCUUCUUUUGAAGGCUAUCCACUGAAGUACAGAAGGUUGGGAGGACUCUGCUGGCUGUGCUUUCCAUCCUCUCUGUCCAGGCGCCAGUGAUUUAAAUAUUACCUGGUCGAACAACCAGUGGCUGCGCUGCAUUGAUUUCUCUACACGGGAGGAUUUCUACGCCGGUCCCCGCUGAUCCAGAUGGGACCGGCCCAAAGACCGAGUGGUGAUCGGGAGGCUCUUCCACAUAGUCCAGGACAACCUGUACGUCUACUUCGGCGGGAAGUUCCACUGCGUUUGCCAGUGGACGAAGAGAAGCUACAGCGGGCCAGCAAAGUCGGUCUGCGGCUGCAGGAUCUGGAGCUCGCUGCCCGCUUCCUGGGAGCCAAAACCGACACCACGCUACUGGAGGCCCGGGCCGUACUGCUGGGCCGGCUGGAGGGAAGGGAAGCCCAGGAGAACCAGGACUGAGCGGACUGUCACAGCCUGCUGAAGUUUAAAUCGCAGGUUUCCUAAAGGGAGUCUGGUGUGGACUCGGACUGUGGAUGACAAAUCAUGACUUUUUAAGUCUCAUUAAAUAAAUGCAUGCAGAAAUAAAUGAAUAAAUAGUGGAGUAGUGAGCCUGGACAUUUCAGUCUGAAACUUAACUUUUUUUUUUUUUUUUUUUUUUUGCAGAAACUUAGUUCAGAAGGGUGAAGUUUCUGUUUGAACUCAGAUCUGUGAACUGAUUAUAAUAAAUAUUCAUUGUAUUAACACAUUAGUCGGUUUUGUUUACUAGGUAAAUGGCGAUAGUUCAUUUUUUAAUUUUACUUAAGUGGAGGAAUGUGAGGAAUACUCCUAGGCCGACUAGCACUAGGCCUUACAUUUUGAACACGAAGUAGAUUAUAUUAAUAUCAAAAGAUUAAUUUUCUCUAAACUAUCAUAAAUGCAUGUCUGACCUUUGGAACGAACUCGCAACUAGAAAAUGGCAUGAGAUUUUGAUUUAUUUCCAUUAGACCUUUGCCUACAUAAUGCGUUAAAGAGGAGUGGCUCCCCAGCGCCAAGAUGGCGACUCUUGAAUUAUUCGUUCCAAUGAACAGCAGUAGCCAAGGCAACAUCUAGUCCGUGUAUAUCUAUGGGAUGUCUGAGCGAUAUCCCGUUCUAUUUAGACAAUCGAGCUCAGUUUGUCUAACAGCCAAGUUUCUAUUUUAAUUGUCUUACGUCGAGCAACCAGUGGCUGCGCUGCUGAUUUCGCUACACUGAGGCUUUCUCUACGAAUGUAUCAACACUUUACAAAACAAAUAAAGAUCCAGCUGUUGCCAACUAAA